rnacentral:rRNA from 1 species
UCUAAUGGGACUGCCGGUGACAAGCCGGAGGAAGGUGGGGAUGACGUCAAGUCCUCAUGGCCCUUAUAGGUGGGGCUACACACGUCAUACAAUGGCCGGUACAAAGGGCAGCCAACCCGCGAGGGGGAGCCAAUCCCAUAAAGCCGGUCGUAGUCCGGAUCGCAGUCUGCAACUCGACUGCGUGAUGUCGGAAUCGCUAGUAAUCGUGGAUCAGCAUGUCACGGUGAAUACGUUCCCGGGUCUUGUACACACCGCCCGUCACACCAUGGGAGCGGGUCUCGCCAGAAGUAGUUAGCCUAACCGCAAGGAGGGCGAUUACCACGGCGGGGUUCGUGACUGGGGUGAA